UAAUACGGAGGAUGCAAGCGUUAUCCGGAUUUAUUGGGUUUAAAGGGUACGUAGGCGGGAGCUUAAGUCAGUGGUGAAAUCCUGCAGCUUAACUGUAGAACUGUCAUUGAUACUGGGCUUCUUGAAUGUAGUUGAGGUAGGCGGAAUGUGUAAUGUAGCGGUGAAAUGCUUAGAUAUUACACAGAACACCGAUUGCGAAGGCAGCUUACUAAACUACGAUUGACGCUGAGGUACGAAAGCGUGGGGAGCGAACAGGAUUAGAUACCCUGGUAGUCCACGCUGUAAACGAUGAUCACUCGUUGUUGGCAAUACACCGUCAGCGACUGAGCGAAAGCAUUAAGUGAUCCACCUGGGGAGUACGACCGCAAGGUUGAAACUCAAAGGAAUUGACGGGGGCCCGCACAAGCGGAGGAACAUGUGGUUUAAUUCGAUGAUACGCGAGGAACCUUACCUGGGCUUAAAUGUAGAACGACGGACCGGGAAACUGGUCUUUCUUCGGACGGUCUGCAAGGUGCUGCAUGGCUGUCGUCAGCUCGUGCCGUGAGGUGUCGGGUUAAGUCCCAUAACGAGCGCGACCCUCAUCAUUAGUUGCCAGCGGGUAAUGCCGGGGACUCUAAUGAAACUGCCGGUGUAAACCGAGAGGAAGGUGGGGAUGACGUCAAGUCAGCACGGCCCUUAUGUCCAGGGCUACACACGUGUUACAAUGGUCGGUACAAAGGGCAGCUACCUGGCGACAGGAUGCUAAUCUCGAAAACCGAUCUCAGUUCGGAUCGAAGUCUGCAACUCGACUUCGUGAAGCUGGAUUCGCUAGUAAUCGCGCAUCAGCCAUGGCGCGGUGAUACGUUCCCGGGCCUUGUACACACCGCCCGUCAAGCCAUGGAAGCUGGGGGUACCUGAAGUCCGUAACCGCA
rnacentral:rRNA from 1 species